AUCCUCAGGUGAGGAUUAACAACAACAAAAAAUGUCAGCUGGAGUCCCCGUAAUCUCGGGCAUGCCUGCCUAUGCCAUCACCGGAGGAGGAUUAAAAAAUACUGUCGCCUGCUUUGCACUCUGAGAACUUCUGACUUAAUUGGUCAGGGCUGGGGCCUAGGCACUGGGAUUUUGAUAUCCAACUGAUUCCCAAAGGAACGGCAGACAUGUAACUCAAUUAGACUUCCUCUAAAAGUCCUAUGACUCCUACAACAUCUGGGAUUUGCAGCCGGUGCAGGGUUCUCUCUCAAAGUCACGCCUGCGUCCACCUGUGCUUUUGGUUCCAGAGAUCUAUGCAGAUAUAUAACCCAGCCCCCUUCUUGAUUCCCAGUAAAUGAAAAGCAACCAAACAAAACCACAUGAAAGCAUCCUUCAACCAAAGCCUUCGUUAGGUCAGUGAACUUUUGUGGAGACUUGUUGCAGCCGAAGAGAUUUCUGUGGAGCAAUAACCUUGACAUGUUCAACCCUUUCCUUGAAAUGCUCUUGACCUCACUCCUAGAGGUAGUUGCCCUUUGACCUUCACCUCUCGGAGUCACUGACCUUCUUUCUCUCACUGGUCCCUCUUUCCUUGGCAUUUCUCAUUUGUCCACCCUAUCCCUUUCCUGGAGAUCCCUUCCUGAGGAUCCGUCAGCUGGUCCAAACCUCCCUCUAUGGGGCAGAGCAGCUCAGUUCUUUCAAGACUUAAUCACACCCAUCAAGGUGCUCAGAAUAUAAAGGGUUUCCUAGUCAACAGGCUCUACCCUCUUAGUGAAGUCUUUUCAUCAUGAAUAACAACAUGUUUUCCUUUUACCCAAAUGCCUGCGGAAUCCAGGCCCCUGAGGAACAGAUUAAGUGAAAUACCUGCCUGUCCUGGACACUGCACUCCGGCCACUCCACUCGCCAUGCCAUGAAUGGUGCUGAGGAAUGCUAGCCCUUGGCCCUGUGUGUUUCUCACAUCGCAUUGUCCAGGUGGAGGUAACACCACGGGAAAAUCCCUGAGGGGUAUCCUGUGAAAAGAUACACCUCAAUAACUCUAGUCUUCCAAACUCAUCUGCUGUUGAAACAAGUGUUGUCCAUUCUCUCUUCCUGAGAUUGAUAACUUCCAUCUAAGAAGACAUUUCUCAUCAGAAUGUCUGCAACCCAAGCUGCCUUUGGACUGAGUUGUUUUCUGGUGGGAGACAACGGACAGUGAACCUGGAACCUUGUCUGGAAAGAAAAUCACUAAGACGCAUGGAGGAUAGACAAAAAUAAAUUCCUACAAAGAAACCAAUAGGUGCAGCGCAUGUUGGGGCCAUCUCCUGUAAACCCCUCCGGAGAGAGGGCAUUUGCUCAUCCAGCCAGGCCCACAGCUUAGCUCAUGGAAGCGCAUCCACAAGCUGAGAAGUUGUGCAAAGAGUGAUGCACUGAGCUCAGCUUCAUCCUCCAACAUCCCUAGUGAGGCCACAGCCCAGGAGCCAGUGAGUCCAGUCUGUUUCAGAAGCCACAGGGGGUCUGAGGAGCCAGUGGGACAAGGAAACACUGGGGCCCAUAAAAACCUC